ensembl:lncRNA
AUAUUUUUUUAAAAAUCUACAAAAGUAAAGACACUCUGAAAAAUUACAUUUGUAAUCUGGAUAUUAUUUAAAGAGUUAGUCUUGGGCAACAUGACUGAGGCUAUGAUACUUCUCAGCCCCUGCAAAGGGGGAGGAACUCUAAAGUUCUAAAACUGAAGACUUGUCAGUGACUUCAUCUAUUAUGAAAAUCACUGAGGACUCUGAUGGGGACCACAGGGGAAGCGUCCAGAAGCAUUGGCCAACCAGAGCUUAUUCCUGGAACCAAAUUCAGGAAAAUGGAUAAGCGCCCUCACCCACUGCACUCUGGGAAGAACAAGCUCCUGGAUUACAAACAUAGACAACUGGAUUUUUCUGCAUCGGCCCUGGUGAAUACCACCUGCCAAAGAUUGCUGUGGAAACAGAUUUUGACCCCCAAUCAAAAUGUUGGCCCCAUGAAGGACUUCCACAGUGUGAGGGGAGAAGUCUAGCCCACUGUUACCCUGGCCUUUUUGCUGCCUGUGUGUGAUGCAUGACUGAGGCCUGGGCAGUCAGACAAACCCUUCAAGGACUCUGCACUGGGAACUGGUGAGCAGGAGGAGGCUGGGGCCAGAAGCUGAAAGAUU